GACCUCAAAUCAGGUAGG
rnacentral:rRNA from 15 species